ACCAUGGCACUAAGUGCAUCAUCCAAUCUCCUUUUAAACACCUCCAGGGAUGGUAACUCCACCACCUCUAUGGGCAGCCCAUUCCAAUGCCAAUCACUCUUUCUGUGAAGAAUUUCUUCUCAACGUCCAGCCUAAACCUGUGUUCUCUUGUUCUGUCACUGGGUGCCUGGGAGGAGAGACCAACUCCUGCCUGGCUACAACCUCCUUUCAGCUAGUUGUAGACAGCAAUGAGGUCACCCCUGAGCCUCCUCUUCUCUAGCCUGAACACCCCCAACUCCCUUAGCCUCUCCUCAUGGGGCUGUGCUCCAGCCCUCUCCCCAGCCUUGAUGCCCUUCUCUGGACAGACAUGUUCAAGCACCUCAACAUCUUUCUUAAAUGGAGGAGCCCAGAACCGGACACAUCAGUCUAUAUCAGAACAAAAACAAUGAAAGAGCCAAGUGAAGCCUGACACAAAUUGUUACCUUUUAUGCUUGAUUUUUUAAAACAUUGAUUUGAUGAGGACCUACAGCUUUAUCUUGGAAGAAACUAUGCACAAUUUCUACAUGUAUACAGAGAACAAGAGGAGCCAAGGUUUUGUCAGCUCCCACCUACCCUAACACUGGUACCUCCAGCACUUUCCAAGUAAGACUCUUCUGAGAAGAUGGAAGUUGUCUGUGCUGCACAGCAGCAGAUCUCUAACUCCAAGAUGGUGGCAUGCUGUUGGUUAUAAUACAAAACCUGAGACUGGGAAACACCUGUCCAGAAAAGGGAAAAUUCUGAAGAGCAAACGGAAUACCAGUGGGGUUUGACUGAAUACCACCUAACACAGAACGGAGGAAGGAAAAGAAAGAUGUUGUAGUGGCAGAAAGUUUAACACCAUGGUAAAGGAGGGCUUUGGAAAACUAAAUCAGAUUAAAAGAUUGGAAAAUUG